CCUUGUGCUCUCUGCUCAGUGCAGGUAAAGAAUUCACACCCCAGCUGUGGCCAUGAGGAUCCUUCACAUGCUCCUGCUUGUCCUCUUGCUGAUGCUCCAAGGGGCUGCAGGACAACAAGUGUUUCCUAGGCUAGAUAAUUCCUGUUUGGCCCAAAACGGACGCUGCUUCCCACGGAUUUGUCGUCGUCCGUAUUACUGGAUUGGAGAGUGUAGUAAUGGAUAUUCUUGCUGCAGAAGGGGAUGGAGUAGCUGAAGAGUCCCUGGAUUUGCCCUGGAAAUCCUUCCUGCUUCUACUGAAAGGCUCCUGGGAAAUCACCCUGAAUCCCUCGCUCCUGGUGGCACCAGUUCCUGCUGCAAUGAAAAGCUGUCACAAUCUUCCCUUGCAGUGAAGCAAACAUCACAAAUGUGAACCAGACAACAUUGUGGAAACUAUUUCUUUCCUCUCCUUUAAUAAAAUCAGUUAUGGUGGCAUUCA